GGCAGCAGAGCCUCUCCUCAGUCAUGGUGAGGACAGAGGACGGAAUGGGUUUCCAUCGUCUCGUCACACCAGGAAGUCCAACUCCCUGGACACAGGUUCUGAGGGUGGGAACAGAGACGCGUUAUGACGUUUCCUGAGGACGGAGAGGAGGCUGCUGGGAAAGGCUGACUGGAUCACAGAGACCUGGAGCGAGACCAGCUUUUAAAACUGUGUGGACUCAAAUGAAAAAGCUUC